CGGUAAUACGGAGGAUCCAGAUGUUAUCCAGAGUCAUUAAGCUCGAGAAGUCCGUGAGCGGUCAGAUAAGUCAGUGGUGAAAGCCCAUCGCUCAACGGUGGAACGGCCAUUGAUACUGUCUGACUUGAAUUAUUAGGAAGCGGUCAGAAUAUGUAUGUGAGCGGUGAAAUGCUUAGAGAUUACAUGGAAUACCAAUUGCGAAGGCAGGUUACUACUAAUUGAUUGACGCUGAUGGACAGGAACGUGGGUAGCGAACGAAGUUAGAUAUCUCGGUAGUCCACGCCGUAAACGAUGGAUACUAGCUGUUAAAGGCAAUCUCUGUGGCUAAGCAGGGAUGAUAAGUAUCCCACCUGAGAGGUACGAACGCAAGUUUGAA
rnacentral:rRNA from 1 species